rnacentral:snRNA from 1 species
AAAGUUAUUCUUUAUCUUUAAUUAAAAAAUUUCUGUUCUUAUCAGCUUAAUAUCUGAUAUGUUAGGCAAUGCCUAACUCAUAUAUUAAACUGAUUUUUGGACUUCGGCCAUGGGAUUGAAGCUUGCUUCGCCCUGGCCACGGGUUGUCUCGGUAUUGCACUACAUCCGAGUACGGCCCCUUCCCC